rnacentral:rRNA from 1 species
ACGCACGCUGGCGGCAUGCCUCACACCUGCCAGUCGCACGCGACCUUCGGGUCUAGUGGCGCACGGGUGCGUCACGCGUGGGAACCUGCCCUUAGGUUCGGAAUAACUCCCCGAAAGGGGUGCUAAUACCGGAUAAUGUCUUCGGACCAAAGAUUUAUCGCCUUUGGAUGGGCCCGCGUUGGAUUAGCUAGUUGGUAGGGUAAAAGCCUACCAAGGCGACGAUCCAUAGCUGGUCUGAGAGGAUGAUCAGCCACACUGGGACUGAGACACGGCCCAGACUCCUACGGGAGGCAGCAGUGGGGAAUAUUGGACAAUGGGCGAAAGCCUGAUCCAGCAAUGCCGCGUGAGUGAUGAAGGCCUUAGGGUUGUAAAGCUCUUUUACCCGGGAUGAUAAUGACAGUACCGGGAGAAUAAGCGCCGGCUAACUCCGUG